rnacentral:rRNA from 1 species
GACGAACGCUGGCGGCGUGCCUAAUACAUGCAAGUCGAACGCUUCUUUCCUCCCGAGUGCUUGCACUCAAUUGGAAAGAGGAGUGGCGGACGGGUGAGUAACACGUGGGUAACCUACCCAUCAGAGGGGGAUAACACUUGGAAACAGGUGCUAAUACCGCAUAACAGUUUAUGCCGCAUGGCAUAAGAGUGAAAGGCGCUUUCGGGUGUCGCUGAUGGAUGGACCCGCGGUGCAUUAGCUAGUUGGUGAGGUAACGGCUCACCAAGGCCACGAUGCAUAGCCGACCUGAGAGGGUGAUCGGCCACACUGGGACUGAGACACGGCCCAGACUCCUACGGGAGGCAGCAGUAGGGAAUCUUCGGCAAUGGACGAAAGUCUGACCGAGCAACGCCGCGUGAGUGAAGAAGGUUUUCGGAUCGUAAAACUCUGUUGUUAGAGAAGAACAAGGACGUUAGUAACUGAACGUCCCCUGACCGGUAUCUAACCAGAAAGCCACGGCUAAC